rnacentral:rRNA from 1 species
AACGACUCUCGGCAACGGAUAUCUCGGCUCUCGCAUCGAUGAAGAACGUAGMGAAAUGCGAUACUUGGUGUGAAUUGCAGAAUCCCGUGAACCAUCGAGUCUUUGAACGCAAGUUGCGCCCGAGGCCAUUAGGCCGAGGGCACGUCUGGCUGGGUGUCACACAACG